AUUGAACGCUGGCGGUAGGCCUAACACAUGCAAGUCGAACGGCAGCACAGUAAGAGCUGGCUCUUAGGGGAGGCGAGUGGCGGACGGGUGAGGAAUACAGGGGACUCUACGUUGUCGGGGGGGAUAACGUGGGGAAACUUACGCUAAUACCACAUACGACCUACGGGAGAAAGCAGGGGAUCUUCGGACCUUGCGCGAGGGAGUGAGCCGAUGGCGGAUUAGCUAGUUGGCGGGGUAACGGCCCACCAAGGCGACGAUCCCUAGCUGGUCUGAGAGGAUGAUCAGCCACACUGGAACUGAGACACGGUCCAGACUCCUACGGGAGGCAGCAGUGGGGAAUAUUGGACAAUGGGCGCAAGCCUGAUCCAGCCAUACCGCGUGUGUGAAGAAGGCCUUCGGGUUGUAAAGCCCUUUUGUUGGGAAAGAAAAGAAGCAGGUUAAUACCCCGCUGUUCUGACGUUACCCACAGAAUAAGCACCGGCUAACUUCGUG
rnacentral:rRNA from 1 species